AUGUAUUCUCCAGUACUUAACACCAAGCAGUCUAGUGUUGACAAUUCGUAUCUUUAUCAACAACAGAAGUUUCUCUGUGGCCUCAACAAGAUUGUCUGGAUUGGUCUGACUGACUCCUUACUGGAGGACACGGAAUGGAUGCAUGGCCAACCACUGACCACGGCAAGCUAUUGGAGGAGUGGAGGCCCUUAUGGUGGUGGAGUGGAGAACUGUGUGGUUGUACGUUACUGGUCAUCAGGAUACAGAAAAGGGUGGGACUAUCAGUGUUCAAAUCCACAGUUCUGGAUCUGUGAAAAAGGCCUCUUGUAGGUACUGCUGUUUAAGGAACUCUGAAGACGGAUUCUAUAUUUUGUUAGAAUGGCACUCUGAACUAGACUUUGGAAAGAAAGGCACACACACACACACACACACACACACACAAGCAUGAACACAUACAAAACAAAUGAGGUAUAUAUCACCCAAUAGCUGCUGUCAAUGUUUAAAUGUACAGUUCAUUAUGUAGCAUUGCAUGUAGGCUGUACACAAUUCUCUCUCUCUACCGCUACCUUUCUCAUGUUGAUGGUUGUUUACACUGUUGAAAGGUUACGUGAUGAUUCCACCUAGUGGUUAACGUGAGAGAUGGACUCACCAUAGAGUUGAAAAAGUGGUAUUACAGACUGGCCUACUGGCUUUUCCUCAAUUCAUCCUUCCUCGAUUACUCCUCGCAUCCUCUCUCCUCCCCUCCUUCUCAAAACACAUUGGAGAAWACAUUCCUYGGGGAGGGACCUUCUCCUCUAAUACUGGUGAGGAGGAGAGGAUUUUAUGUUAAGAUUUAGAUGAGUGUGUAGACACACCACACUCUAAAAUGCUUGUAUUCAUUGUUUUUAUUAGCAACAUGUCAUGUGAUUUGCCAUGCUUCCGCUAAGUUCAUUAAUCAUUUUUCUCUAUUUUUUUCAUGAUCGAUUAUUAUCAUCAAUCCUUUUUAUAAUGAGAAGAACAAAGGCACAGAUUAAUAAAUAAAUGAACAAUGUCCCCUGACGUCUACCAGCUUCCUGAUUGAAUGUGAUUGGAUCGUUUAAGUGUGACCUGCAGUUGGACACAGAUGACAGAACAGGACUUAGAGGACACACACUGUGUGCAGGCAGACAUACACACAUGCACGAACGCACACUAUGAAGUUCCCCUUUUAAACCUCUGAUAAAGAUGCAGACAGAUUUCUUACACACACUUCUGAAUAUUUUCUCACACUGAUGUCACACACACACAGCAUAGAUAGGACAAAAGGCCCAUAUAUGGCCAUCGAUGGCCAGUCACGGAGUGCAAGCCAUAACGUGUCUUUCUUAUGGACAACGACACCAGCAGGACUUGCAAAAUAUGACGUCCUGCUUGAAGGUGAUUGGAUACUUAAGACAUUCUAUCAACUGAAGUGCACUGCAGACAGACAGACAUCAGAGAGGUACCAGUGGAGACACACAUCAGAGUAACUACUCAACUACUAGUAAUCAUACAGUAGAUAUUACCAUUAGGAGUCAGUUAGAAAGGUAAUCAUACAGUAGAUAUUACCAUUAGGAGUCAGUUAKAAAUGUAAUCAUASAGUAGAUAUUACCAUGAGGAGUCACUUCCCACGU
rnacentral:lncRNA from 1 species